GAUGAACGCUGGCGGCGUGCCUAAUACAUGCAAGUCGAGCGAACAGACGAGGAGCUUGCUCCUCUGACGUUAGCGGCGGACGGGUGAGUAACACGUGGAUAACCUACCUAUAAGACUGGGAUAACUUCGGGAAACCGGAGCUAAUACCGGAUAAUAUAUUGAACCGCAUGGUUCAAUAGUGAAAGACGGUUUUGCUGUCACUUAUAGAUGGAUCCGCGCCGCAUUAGCUAGCUGGUAAGGUAACGGCUUACCAAGGCAACGAUGCGAAGCCGACCUGAGAGGGUGCUCGGCCACACUGGAACUGAGACACGGUCCAGACUCCUACGGGAGGCAGCAGUAGGGAAUCUUCCGCAAUGGGCGAAAGCCUGACGGAGCAACGCCGCGUGAGUGAUGAAGGUCUUCGGAUCGUAAAACUCUGUUAUUAGGGAAGAACAAAUGUGUAAGUAACUAUGCACGUCUUGACGGUACCUAAUCAGAAAGCCACGGCUAACUACGUGCCAGCAGCCGCCGUAA
rnacentral:rRNA from 1 species